CGCGUAUCCAACCUUCCGUACACUCAGGGAUAGCCUUUCGAAAGAAAGAUUAAUACCUGAUGGUAUGAUGAGAUUGCAUGAUAGCAUCAUUAAAGAUUUAUCGGUGUACGAUGGGGAUGCGUUCCAUUAGGUAGUAGGCGGGGUAACGGCCCACCUAGCCAACGAUGGAUAGGGGUUCUGAGAGGAAGGUCCCCCACAUUGGAACUGAGACACGGUCCAAACUCCUACGGGAGGCAGCAGUGAGGAAUAUUGGUCAAUGGACGAGAGUCUGAACCAGCCAAGUAGCGUGAAGGAUGAAGGUCCUACGGAUUGUAAACUUCUUUUAUAAGGGAAUAAACCCUCCCACGUGUGGGAGCUUGUAUGUACCUUAUGAAUAAGCAUCGGCUAACUCCGUGCCAGCAGCCGCGGUAAUACGGAGGAUGCGAGCGUUAUCCGGAUUUAUUGGGUUUAAAGGGAGCGCAGACGGGUCGUUAAGUCAGCUGUGAAAGUUUGGGGCUCAACCUUAAAAUUGCAGUUGAUACUGGCGUCCUUGAGUGCGGUUGAGGUGUGCGGAAUUCGUGGUGUAGCGGUGAAAUGCUUAGAUAUCACGAAGAACUCCGAUUGCGAAGGCAGCACACUAAUCCGUAACUGACGUUCAU
rnacentral:rRNA from 1 species